rnacentral:SRP_RNA from 1 species
GCCAGGUGUGGUGGUGUGCCCCUGUAGUCCCAGCUACUUGGGAGGCUGAGGCUGGAGGAUUAUUUGAGUCCAGGAGUUCUGCGCUGAAGUGUGCUAUGCCAAUCAGGUUUCUGCACUAAGUUCAGCAUCAAUAUGGUGACCUUCCAGGAGUGGGGGACCACCAGGUCACCUAAGGAGGGGUGAACCAUCCAGGUAGGAAAUGGAGCAGGUCAAAACUCCCGCACUGAUCAGUAGUGGGAUUGCACCUGUGAAUAGCCACUGCACUCCAGCCUGGGCAACAUAGUGAGACCCCAUCACU